rnacentral:rRNA from 1 species
UACGGAGGAUCCAAGCGUUAUCCGGAAUCAUUGGGCUUAAAGGGUCCGUAGGCGGUUUAAUAAGUCAGUGGUGAAAUCUGGUCGCUCAACGAUCAAACGGCCAUUGAUACUGUUAGACUUGAAUUAUUGGGAAGUAACUAGAAUAUGUAGUGUAGCGGUGAAAUGCUUAGAUAUUACAUGGAAUACCAAUUGCGAAGGCAGGUUACUGCCAAUAUAUUGACGCUGAUGGACGAAAGCGUGGGGAGCGAACAGG